UAUUCUGCCCCACGGGGAAGGAUGAGAAGCUUCGACCAAGGUUCGACUCGAGCGAAGCGAGAGAACGUUGCCGCAGGCAACGGCCCGAAGGGCGAGGCGCAGCCGAGUAAUCCUCCCGGAUGCACCA
rnacentral:sRNA from 1 species